UACAGAUCUCUAUACCGGUAUCUAGAUCUAGAUCCACAACACCUAGACUUUUGUCUAGAUCUUUUUCAAGAUUAAAUUAUUAAGGUGCAUAUAAAUGGCAACCAGUUCUAAUGAUGUGCCAGAAUGGCUUGUUGAUCAUAAUUAUGCAUAUACACCUACUCUAUUUGAAGAAUUUGAAAAUAUCGAUAUAGAUUCAAUUUUUGACGGACAGGACAACAAUGAGACAGGAGCAGAUUUAAAGCAAGAAUGUGCAAUAAAAAC